rnacentral:rRNA from 1 species
GAUGAACGCUAGCGAUAGGCUUAACACAUGCAAGUCGAGGGGCAGCAUGGUCUUAGCUUGCUAAGACUGAUGGCGACCGGCGCACGGGUGCGUAACGCGUAUGCAACUUGCCUCACAGAGGGGGAUAACCCGUCGAAAGACGGACUAAUACCGCGUACACUCCAUCUUGGGCAUCCAAGGUAGAGGAAAUGAAAUUCGCUGUGAGAUAGGCAUGCGUCCCAUUAGCUAGUUGGUGAGGUAACGGCUCACCAAGGCGACGAUGGGUAGGGGAACUGAGAGGUUGAACCCCCACAAUGGUACUGAGACACGGACCAGACUCCUACGGGAGGCAGCAGUGAGGAAUAUUGGUCAAUGGGCGAGAGCCUGAACCAGCCAAGUCGCGUGAAGGAUGACUGUCUUAUGGAUUGUAAACUUCUUUUAUACGGGAAUAACAAGAGUCACGUGUGACUCCCUGCAUGUACCGUAUGAAUAAGCAUCGGCUAACUCCGUG